GGCCUUAUAGUCAACUAUGAUUCUAGACUGCAAUUCUGGAGGUGUAAUUUAUAAUAUUUUACUAAGGCCU
rnacentral:tRNA from 1 species